GUGAAACCGCGAAUGGCUCAUUAAAUCACACCUAAUCUACUGGAUAGUAGUCAGUUACUUGGAUACCUGAGGUAAUUCUUCAGCUAAUACGUGCACACAAGCCUCGAACUUACGUGAGAGGCGCUUUUAUUAGAUUCAAAACCAGUCAGCUUCGGCUGUCCCUUUGGUGACUCUGAAUAACUUUGGGCUGAUCGCAUGGCCUCGCGCCGGCGACAUAUCCUUCGAAGGUGUGCCCUAUCAACUGUCGACUGUGGCAUAGACGCCCACAGUGGUUUUGACGGGUAACGGGGAAUCAGGGUUCGAUUCCGGAGAGGGAGCCUUAAAAACGGCUACCACAUCCAAGGAAGGCAGCAGGCACGCAAAUUACCCAAUGACCGAAGGUCGAGGUAGUGACGAAAAAUAACGAUACGGGACUCAUCCGAGGCCCCGUAAUCGGAAUGAGUACACUUUAAAACCUUUUUUAUCGAGGAUCUAUUGGAGGGCAAGUCUGGUGCCAGCAGCCGCGGUAAUUCCAGCUCCAAUAGCGUAUAUUAAAGUUGUUGCGGUUAAAAAGCUCGUAGUUGGAUCUCGGCGGGUAGAGGGCGGUAUGCUUGCUAGCAUUACUGCCCUAUUACCCGUAGUUUUGCUAGAGGUUUCAGGGUGCUCUUAACCGAGUGUCCUGGGAUGCUAGCAGGUUUACUUUGAAAAAAUUAGAGUGCUCAAAGCAGGCUACUACGCUUGAAUAUUCGUGCAUGGAAUAAUAGAAUAGGAAGUCGUUUCUAUUUUGUUGGUUUUCGGAAAUCGACUUAAUGAUUAAUAGGGACAGUCGGGGGGCAUUUGUAUUCAAACGACAGAGGUGAAAUUCUUGGACCGUUUGAAGACAAACUACUGCGAAAGCAUUUGCCAAGAAUGUUUUCAUUAAUCAAGAACGAAAG
rnacentral:rRNA from 1 species